CAGGUACUUGUUGACUGAAUACAUAGGUCUUCAAGAGCAAACCCGGGGAACUGAAACAUCUAAGUACCCGGAGGAAAGGAAAUCAAUAUGAUACUCCCCUAGUAGCGGCGAGCGAACGGGGACCAGCCGAGCCUUGAGUGUGAGAAGAACCUGUUGGGAAGCAGGACCAUAGGGGGUGAUAGUCCCGUAUUCGAAACAUGAUAGGACGUAUUAAGUAGGGCGGAACACGUGAAAUUCUGUCUGAAGAUCGGAGGACCACCUUCGAAGGCUAAGUACUCCUUACUGACCGAUAGCGAACCAGUACCGUGAGGGAAAGGUGAAAAGCACCCCGAUAAGGGGAGUGAAAUAGAUCCUGAAACCAUACGCUUACAAGCGGUCGGA
rnacentral:rRNA from 1 species